rnacentral:rRNA from 1 species
CCCCGGGGGCGGAGAACCCCGGGAACUGGGGCUAAUCCCAGAUAGAUGAGAACUCCUGGAACGGGUUCUCGUCCAAAGGGCACCUAGGCCACGCUUCUAGGUGUCGCUCAAGGAUGGGGCCGCGGCCGAUCAGGCUGUUGGUGAGGCAACGGCUCACCAAACCUUUAACCGGUACGGGCCGUGGGAGCGGGUGCCCGGAGAUGGGAACUGAGACAAGGUCCCAGGCCCUACGGGGCGCAGCCGUUGCGAAACCUCGUCAAUGCACGAAAGUGUGAACGGGCUACCCCGAGUGCUGUCCGCUGAGGAUGGCUUUUCUCUGCUGUAAGGAGGCGGAGGAAUAAGGAGAGGGCAAGUCUGGUGUCAGCCGCCGCGGUAAUACCAGCUCUCCGAGUGGUGGGGAUGUUUAUUGGGCCUAAAGCGUCCGUAGCCUGCCCUUCAAGUCUUUCGUUAAAUCCAGCGAUUCAAUCGUUGGACUGCGGGAGAUACUGUUGGGCUAGGGGGCGGGAGAAGCCGACGGUAUUUCCGGGGUAGGGGUAAAAUCCUAUAAUCCCGGGAGGACCACCAGUGGCGUAGGCGGUCGGCUAGCACGUGCUCGACGGUGAGGGACGAAAGCUGGGGGAGCAAACCGGAUUAGAUACCCGGAUAGUCCCAGCUGUAAACGAUGCGGGCUAGGUGUUGGGGUGGCCACGAGCCACUUCAGUGCCGCAGGGAAGCCAUUAAGCCCGCCGCCUGGGGAGUACGGCCGCAAGGCUGAAACUUAAAGGAAUUGGCGGGGGAGCAC